CUCACACACACUUCAGUGAAAACUCAAGGUCAACAAGUCCUCUGAUUUAAGUAUCAGUGGGACUUCUAGGACUAUACUUUUUCACCAACUAAAGGGUGAGAACUUGAAUAUUUUUCUGUGACUUCUAAAUAAAUGACAUCUGUCUCCAACCUGGCCUUCAGCACGGAACAAAGGAGGGAAAAGAUUGAACUGAAGACUCCCAAGAGUCAAGAUAAGGAGACUGAAUUUCAGAAAGAGUGGGCACCUCAUCCAAAGUGAUAUAACAAGCUAAAAUGACAGAGUCAAGAGCUAAUGCCCAUAUGCUUUUCAACAUAUCGUGUAACUAAAUUUGGCUCUGACCACAAGGAUGCAGGGAAAGUGACAUCAUUGGACUCCUGAGUCUAGACCUGAAGAAGAUGGACCAUUUCUGUUUUCUGCCUCUUGAAACUCAGCUGCCAUGCUAUGAGGAGCACAAGGCCCAGGGAGAGGCCACGUAGAGGAAAACAAGGAAGCUGCAGUUGGCAGCCAGGGGAGCUCCCGGAUAGCAAUUGGCACCACUGGUCAGCUGCUCUCUUGGACUUGCCAGCCCUACCGGCUCCCUACACACCUGUAGCCUGAGCCAGUGUUACAUGGAUCUGAAGAGCUGCUCACCUGAGCCAGCCAACACAUAGAGUCGUGAGGAACAAUGAACAUCAAGCUGGGUGAGUAUGGAAGAGACAUUACUGAAAGAGACAUAAGUUGUUCAUAAAUGGAAGAUCUGUCAUGUUCCUGGAUCAAUGAGGGCCUUCACCUGACUGAAUGAGGAUGACCCACAGAAGGAGUACAAUCUGCUUUACUCGGUCUACUAAUUGACAAACACCCUCACAGACACCCAGAGUAAUGUUUGACUGAAUACCUGGGUACUCUGUGGCCCAGUCAUAUUGAUACAUAGAAAUCAACCAUCACAGUCCAAUCCCUGCCAAGUUGGCACCCAGGGGCAUCUCCUUAAACCAUACUUAAUCUCCAAAUAAAAACAAUAACAAAGUCAUAAUUCCACCCAAGAUGAUACAACUAUCCUAUAUAUGACUAAAAACCCACUAACUAGUAAGGUUAUAGUCCUUGCUCUUCUCCUUGACAAUCUGUAAUUUAAAUACUAUAAUGAAAAAUUAACAAUAUUUCAAUAUUAUGAUAUAAAUAAUGAAUAUAAUAUUAUGUUACAUGAUAAGGGAAUAGGAGGAAAAAAUAGAGAUGUUAUCUGUUAUAUACACUCAUAUGUGUAGCUAUAUUUGCACAUGUAUAUGGUGAACAUAUAUAUGUUAAGAUACAUAUUCAAAACAAAAUAAGGAAAAAAUACCCAUGACAAUUAUAGUUCUCAUCUCUGAAACUGGUCAUGUCGUCUUGGCCAAUAUUUAU